ACUCAGCAGUGUCCCUUUCACCUUAUCUUAGAACAUGCCAAGACUAAUCUGGUCUCUUCAGAUAAUUGGAUAAGAUCCUUGAUACUGACUAAUUCUAGUAAUGAUGACGCAGUACUUCUAUGUCUCAUGUCUCCACAAAAAUCAUUAUAAAAUUUGUUAGCGGGUAAAAAGAAUCAUUAUACAUCGAUCAAGAUAUGUUCUUUUUCUUAAGGCUAUGCUUCAUGCAUAUCAGUUGCGUGCCAGAGAAGGCUUGUGGUCGAUUGGGUCCCAGCUUCUGACCUCGACGAAGAGACUGCGAAUCAGGUCUCGCGAGUUCUGUUAUACCUUUUGCUUUCACCAUCACUAGAGGGUGCUGUCAUGAUCUAGGCCUUGUUUAGUUGCUAAAGUUUGGAGGUGCCAAAUUACUGUUACAAUACUGUAGCACACUGUAGCGUUUCGUUUGUAUUUGUGAAUUAUUGUCCAAACAUUGACUAAUUAGGCUCAAAAGAUUCGUCUCGCAAAGUACAACAAAACUGUGCAAUUAGUUUUUAAUUUUGUCUACAUUUAGUACUCCAUGCAUGUACCGCAAGUUUGAUAUGAUGGGAAAUCUUUUUUUUGCAUAGUGCCAAAGUUGGGAGUUGGGGGUGAACUAAGCCCUUGUUUACUUCCCUCCAAACUCCCAACUUUGACACUAUGCAAAAAGAAGAUUCCCCAUCACAUCAAACUUGCGGUAUAUGCAUGGAGUACUAAAUGUAGACGAAAUCAAAAACUAAUUGCACAGUUUUGUUGUACUUUGCGAGACGAAUCUUUUGAGCCUAAUUAGUCAAUAUUUGGACAAUAAUUCACAAAUGCAAACGAAACGCUACAGUGUCGCAUUUAUGGCAAAAUAUCAAUUUUGCAACUCCCAACUUGGAAAGUAAACAAGGCCUAAACAAGGGCCUAAUCCUUACGCCUCUCUGAAUGUGCUGUUGCUUGCAGUCACCUGACCUCCAUGAGAAGGCACGGAGCUUGCUGAAGGUGACACUCACGAGACUACAAGCAGCAAACUACUGUAGAUGUCAUAGAGCACUGUGAGUUGAGUGUAACAGUGCGGAGUUUGACGCUGGCACGAGAUAU
rnacentral:lncRNA from 1 species